UACGGGGGGGGCAAGCGUUGUUCGGAAUUACUGGGCGUAAAGGGUUCGUAGGUGGCCAACUAAGUCAGACGUGAAAUCCCUCAGCUUAACUGGGGAACUGCGUCUGAUACUGGUUGGCUUGAGUGCAGGAGAGGAAUGCGGAAUUCCAGGUGUAGCGGUGAAAUGCGUAGAUAUCUGGAGGAACACCGGUGGCGAAGGCGGCAUUCUGGACUGCAACUGACACUGAGGAACGAAAGCCAGGGUAGCAAACGGG
rnacentral:rRNA from 1 species